rnacentral:misc_RNA from 1 species
AUGGCUGACACUACGAUUCUCGACACAACGUGCUCUUCCACGUUAGCUGCCAACGUGGAAUUCUCACACGCCACCGAUUCGGCUAUCGGAAUUUCGCUGAAAAAUGCGACGAUUACAGAAGCCGAAGGGGUGCCAAAUUUGAAAGAGACUGGAUACGAUUGUGAACUUGCAACGGAGGUCAAAUAUAUCUUGGCAGAGAACGAAAAAAGCUGAAAGAUUAUGUGGCAAUCAAGAAAUUUGCCAUCGAUGAUGUGGAUGAUUAUGCAGCGAUUGCGAAAGAAUCAUCAAAUCUCCGUCUAAUGCACCAUCCGAAUAUCAUUGAACUAUGUGAAUGCUUUGUCUACGAACGAUCAAUAUAUCAAAUAACACCUGCAAUGAACCUCGGAUCAUUAUUUGAUAUUGUAUUUGAAUAUAUGAAAUGGGGUAUCAAUGAGAAAUCGGCUGCUGCAAUUACACGACAACUACUCGAUGCACUUUCAUAUUUACAUCAGAGACGUUAUAUUCAUAGAGAUCUAAAACCGAAGCAUAUCCUCAUCGACUCCAGCGGCAACGUGAAGCUCUCGGGAUUCCGAUUCAUGAUCGAACUGAAUCAUCACCUGGAUUGUGUGUUCGAAUUUGAUGCUCAUCUCCAAAAUCAGCUCUACUAUUUGGCACCGGAAGUGCUCGCACAGAAUAUACACGGAUACACGUCGAAAUCCGACAUCUACAUGUUGGGCAUAUCGAUUUGUGAGGCAAUCAAUGGAGUUAUGCCUUUUGGAGAGCUUGAACCACUUGAAAUGCUCCAUCGGAAGCUUAAUGGACAGGUUCCGAGACCGGUGGACAUGAUUAGUUUGAAGGAUGAUCAGAAGAUGGGAUUGGACAUUUCCCACCGCCCCCAGGAGCACUUGACACGUCGAUUUUCGAAAGAAAUGCACGAAUUCAUCGCCAACUGCCUCGACUAUGAUCCACAACAGAGAGGCUCUGCGUCCGACCUGAAAUCGUCCGCGUGGCUCGGGUCAAAAAUUCACAAAAAUCUGGGCCCGGUAGAUGUCCGUCAAGAGCUUAACCUGGACUAUGCACAUUUCGAUUUAUCACUCUGGGAACAGGAACCACUUAUUCCGAUGGAACCCGAUCAGAAAUAUGAGAUUGUCUUUGAUUACUCGCCAAUUUCCUGA